GGGGCUGUGGCUCAGUGGCAGAGCAUCUAAUUUUGCAUGCAGAAGGUCCCAGGUACAAACCCUGCCUGCUCCA